rnacentral:rRNA from 1 species
UACAGAGGUCUCAAGCGUUGUUCGGAUUCAUUGGGCGUAAAGGGUGCGUAGGCGGCGCGGUAAGUCGGGUGUGAAAUCUCGGAGCUUAACUCCGAAACUGCAUUCGAUACUGCCGUGCUUGAGGACUGGAGAGGAGACUGGAAUUCAUGGUGUAGCAGUGAAAAUGCGUAGAGAUCAUGAGGAAGACCAGUGGCGAAGGCGGGUCUCUGGACAGUUCCUGACGCUGAGGCACGAAGGUCAGGGGAGCAAACGGGG